NNCCAGCUGACGAGUCCCAAAUAUGACGAAAUGCACAUCCUGGAU
rnacentral:hammerhead_ribozyme from 1 species